AUACGUAGGUGGCAAGCGUUAUCCGGAAUUAUUGGGCGUAAAGAGUGAGCUAGGCGGUCGUUUAAGUCUGAAAGUCAAAUGCUGUGGCUUAACCACAGUUCGCUUUGGAAACUGGACGACUAGAGUACGAGAGAAGUAAGCGGAAUUCCAUGUGUAGCGGUGAAAUGCGUAGAUAUAUGGAGGAACACCAGUGGCGAAGGCGGCUUACUAGAUCGAUACUGACGCUCAGUCACGAAAGCGUGGGUAGC
rnacentral:rRNA from 1 species